rnacentral:rRNA from 1 species
UACAGAGGUCCCAAGCGUUGUUCGGAUUCACUGGGCGUAAAGGGUGCGUAGGUGGCCGGGUAAGUCUGAUGUGAAAUCUCGGAGCUUAACUCCGAAACUGCAUUGGAUACUAUCCGGCUUGAGGGUCGGAGGGGGGACUGGAAUUCUCGGUGUAGCAGUGAAAUGCGUAGAUAUCGAGAGGAACACCAGUGGCUAAGGCGAGUCCCUGGACGACUCCUGACACUGAGGCACGAAAGCUAGGGGAGCAAACAGG